GGCCUGUUAGCUCAGCUGGUUAGAGUGUGGUGCUAAUGACGCCGAGGUCGUGGGUUCGAUCCCCACAUGGGCCA
rnacentral:tRNA from 1 species